GCGCCGUUAGCUCAGUUGGCAGAGCUUCCGACUCUUAAUCGGAAUGUCGCAGGUUCGAUUCCUGCACGGCGUACCA
rnacentral:tRNA from 1 species